GAUUAUCCCAUUGACUUUUAUUCACCUUUACAAAACCAACAUAAAGAAGGAGGAAAGCCUUUCUUUGGAAAGAUGUCCCCUGAAGAGAAAGAACAAUGGAUCUUAAAAGUCAUACACCAAAAUAAACAGUAAGCCACAAGAGAAUAAUGGCCAUAAAUAUUGUCACAUUCACAUCUAAAGCAAUGGGAACCUGACACAAGAGUACUGCUUAACUCUUAAAAAUGUAUUAACUAAGGGGUCAAAAAAUAAAUAAAUAAAGCAAAUGGUAUGGAAACACUUA